CUUUUAAAGGAUCAAAGUUUAAUCCGU
rnacentral:tRNA from 1 species